GGAGAUAUAGCUCAGUUGGUAGAGGAGUAGACUGUUAAUUAUUGGUAGAGAGUUCAAGUCUUUCUAUCUCCGCCA
rnacentral:tRNA from 1 species